rnacentral:lncRNA from 1 species
GUCAUCUUGAAUUGUCUCCUUAUCACUCGUUGCUUUCCUUUAGCGACCAGUAACUGGGAACAUGGUUAGAAGGGAGCAGUGCAUAUUUCCAGCAGACCUCAGGCUGGCCUGCAAUAAUCAGAGACAAGCCGAUGUCAACAGUGAGAUCGUGGACUCUGUAUAGUUUUUACAGAUUGAACAUGCAAAAAUUUCAUUAAGUAGGAAUUGAGAACACAAAGGAGGAACCUCAUCUCUCCCUUUGAAUGACAAUCUGUGAAAAAAAAAUCAUUAGACUACAUGAAUAAAGUUCAUUAGGAUAAAUGACCGUAAAACUAUAGAAUUGUCAAGAUCUCAUAUAAAAAAUUAAUGGUUAUCUCUAGGGGAUGCAAUCAUAUGUAACUUUUUAUUUUUUGUUUGCAUUGUCUAGCACUUCUACAAUAAAUAUAUAUAACUUGUAUAAUAAAAAAUAAAUAUAUCUUACAAUUUUUGCAAGUUUAAAUAAUCAUACCCCCAAAAUACCUAAGAAUAAAAAAAAAUUCACUUUUCAGCAUGUGUUUCCAAAAUUUUUCUUACACACUAGAAAAUUCAAUAUAAGCUAAACACAACAGAUGAAAAACUCUGAUGUGCACUUUUAAAAAUCAAGAGUUGGCUGUCUAUGUCACAAGUGCUGGACUAUGCAGAUAAACUAUAAAUUGCCCUCCAGUGUUUGAGUUUUCCAUCUGCUCUCUUACUAAAUUAGGUCAAUCAUCAGAAAGCCAUGUGCCUGGACCACCUCACCUCAGGAGCACAGAAACACUUUCACUGAGUUAUGAUUUAGUGGUGUAUUUUCUGCUUCUAACCAUAGAAUCAUUGUAACAAUGUCUCUGAGUCCAGUGUUAAUACCAUGACUUAAAAUAUUGCCCAGACUCAUUGUUCUUUAUACACAGCCUUACAUUUAAAAAAUCUCAUUUGUGACAUUAUUUCCAGGAAACAGUUUGUUUUCAUACACAGAUUUUGUGUGUACUUUCUUAUGGCAAAAAUAAAGCUACCUAAUCCAAACCUCCUAUGCUUUAAUUCCUAGAAAUUUAAGUCAGAUUCACUGCUCACUUAGGAAUCUGUAUAUUCAUUUAACUAAUAGCACCUUCUCCUUUGCUUUCUUUGCCCCUUUGCUUGUUUUGGUUUUGGUUCUUUGAAUGGAAUCUAAUCUGUUUUGAUCACUGUAAUUUAAAUAAAUAGACUGCCAUAUUCUCUUAGUAGAUAAAUAUAUAACAAGACGGUGAUCACAUGUAUAAAUGUGACAUUAAUCUUCAGUUUAACAGAGAUGAUCAUCACAUCACCAAGAAUAUUUUAGUAUUAUUAUAAUUUUCUAAUGUGAAUACAUACAUUGGGGUUACUGGUUGGAAAGCUUAUAAUUUUACCUUCAUGUGGGUGGAUAUGGCUGUAAUGCCUUUUCAUCCCACAAGAGUAUCUGAACUUACAUGUUUAAAACUAGUUCUUCAUAGCACACCUCAGGGGUUAGUCCACCAAUGAUGUCAUUCAUCAAAGCUUUUUGUACCUAGACAUUGAGGAUUGCCUUUUGGGAAGUUUUAGACUCAUACAGCAACAUACUCCAAACUGUAUAGCUGAAGCUCAUUCUAUACAAUAAAUGCAUUUGUGAAAUGUUGAAUAAAAAUUAAUGUUGGAAAUGUUGACUCUAUUAAAAUCAUUAGAAACAUCUUUACUUAAAGGAGCCCCACCCACAUCUUAUCAUUUUCUUUUUAUAUUUUUAUGAAUCUUGAAAAUAGUUCUCUCCUGCAUUGUUAGCAUACUGAAAAAUAUGGCAGAGGGCAAAUAAGGCCAAUCUGGCAAAGAAAUGUAUUUCCCCAUUCAACUCCAUCUGACUGGUGAUGAAGAUGGCUAGAUUAGUGGUUGUAUUACUUUUGUUUUGGACUUUCUGGAUCUUAUCACAAUAUUGCAUUUCUUUUAAGUCCAGAAGGAUAAAGCUCUGCCCCCAAGGUUUGUAUCUUAGUUGCAGCUUUAAAUUGACAGGAGGACUGUGUUGGAACAAUCUUCUAUGGAUAGAGUAUGACUUAAAGGAAACAUCUAAAUAAAAUAAUUCCUCAUUGUUAUGGGAAUGAAAGAUCAAAGUCAAUUUUUAAAAUAAAAAUAUUUUAGCUUCUUAGUAUUAUAUGAAAAUAUUGAGCCCAUUCUUGAAAUUUACAUAAGACCUCUAGUUGAGUUUGAUAGGCAUUUUAAAAUGCAUGUGAUAAAGGAACAAUAAAAUAGAAUAAAGUAUAAAAGUAAUGAAGCUAUUGAAAUUGAAUGCUCCUAAGGUAAACAGAAGAUGAAAAAGUAAUAUUUUUUGCCAGAUGAAGAGAUAGGCUUUCUUAUUGUAUUGUUCAGGCAAAUAAAGGCAAGAAAUAAUCAGAGCCAUGCUGUAGAAUAAGACAAGUAAGAUAAAUUUUCAUAUAAAUUGAAAUGAUAAUAUAUUUUAAAUCAGUCAUAAAAUUAUUUAUUAUCCAAAAAUAUGUACUAAUACAGUAAUAAAUGCUGUAGUUUAAAUGUUUAAAUUUCUCUUUUCUUGUAAUGAGUCCUAAAAAUAUCUAAACAUUAUAUUCAUGUUUAUAGUGAUACAAAUUAGUUUCACUUUAUUAAUAAAUCUGGCUAUAAAAAUGUCCCAUAGAGAUGUGAUUUAUAUUAAUUUUCUAAGAUUUUAAAGAUAAUACAUGAAGUGACAAGUUAACCUGGGGUGGUUUAUUUUUUUUUUUAAGAUUUUAUUUAUUUAUUCAUGAGAGACACAGAGACAUAGAGAAGCAAAGACAUAGAGGGAGAAGCAGACUCCAUGCAGGGGGCCCAAUGUGGAACUCGAUCCGGGACCCCAGAUCAUGCCCUGAGCCGAAGUCAGAGGUUAACCACUGAGCCACCCCGGUGUCCCUGGGUGGUAUAUUAUAACACUAAUCUCAAACAGAAAGUAUGUUGUAAAGACAUUGUCCAAAAA